rnacentral:rRNA from 1 species
GGUGAGUAACACGUGGAUAACCUACCUAUAAGACUGGGAUAACUUCGGGAAACCGGAGCUAAUACCGGAUAAUAUUUUGAACCGCAUGGUUCAAAAGUAAAAGACGGUCUUGCUGUCACUUAUAGAUGGAUCCGCGCUGCAUUAGCUAGUUGGUAAGGUAACGGCUUACCAAGGCAACGAUGCAUAGCCGACCUGAGAUGGUGAUCGGCCACACUGGAACUGAGACACGGUCCAG